rnacentral:misc_RNA from 1 species
GAUGAAAACGCAGUGAAAUGCGAUACUUGGUGUGAAUUGCAGAAUCCCGUGAACCAUCGAGUCUUUGAACGCAAGUUGCGCCUCAAGUCAUUAGGUUGAGGGCACGUCUGCCUGGGCGUCACAUAUCGUUGCCUGAUGCCAGUUUCCUCGUGAUGGGUGACUGUGCAGGGCGAAUGAUGGCUUCCCGUGAGCAUUGUUGCCUCAUGGUUGGUUGAAAAUUGAGUCCUUGGUAGGGAGCGCCGUGAUAGAUGGUGGUUGAGUGACGAACGAGACCCAAUCAUGUGAGACCCCUACCGAAUUUGGCCUUCAUGACCCACAUGCGUCUUUGGAACGCUCAUGACGAGACCUCAGGUCAGGCGGGGCUACCCGCUGAGUUUAAGCAUAUCAAUAAGCGGAGGA